rnacentral:rRNA from 1 species
UACAGAGGUCUCAAGCGUUUGUUCGGAUUCAUUGGGCGUAAAGGGUGCGUAGGUGGCGGGGCCAGUCAGGUGUGAAAUCCCGGGGCUUAACCCUGGAACUGCAUUUGAUACUGCCUUGCUGGAGAACUGGAGAGGAGACUGGAAUUUACGGUGUAGCAGUGAAAUGCGUAGAGAUCGUAAGGAAGACCAGUGGCGAAGGCGAGUCUCUGGACAGUUACUGACACUGAGGCACGAAGGCCAGGGGAGCAAACGGG